UGGGGAAUAUUGGACAAUGGGCGCAAGCCUGAUCCAGCCAUACCGCGUGUGUGAAGAAGGCCUUCGGGUUGUAAAGCACUUUAAGCAGGGAGAAAAAGUUAUAAGUUAAUACCUUAUAACCGUGAUGUUACCUGCAGAAUAAGCACCGGCUAAUUCCGUGCCAGCAGCCGCGGUAAUACGGAAGGUGCAAGCGUUAAUCGGAAUUACUGGGCGUAAAGCGCGCGUAGGUGGUUUGUUAAGUUGGAUGUGAAAGCCCUGGGCUCAACCUAGGAACUGCAUCCAAAACUAACUCACUAGAGUACGAUAGAGGGAGGUAGAAUUCAUAGUGUAGCGGUGGAAUGCGUAGAUAUUAUGAAGAAUACCAGUGGCGAAGGCGGCCUCCUGGAUCUGUACUGACACUGAGGUGCGAAAGCGUGGGUAGCGAACAGGAUUAGAUACCC
rnacentral:rRNA from 1 species